rnacentral:rRNA from 1 species
CCUGGUUGAUCCUGCCAGUAGUCAUAUGCUUGUCUCAAAGAUUAAGCCAUGCAUGUCUAAGUACAAGCUCGUCUCGAGCGAAACUGCGGAUGGCUCAUUAAAUCAGUUAUGGUUCAUUGGAUCGAGUCCCCCCGACAUGGAUAACUGUGGUAAUUCUAGAGCUAAUACAUGCGUCCAAGCGCCGACUUUCCAGAAGGCGUGCUUUUAUUAGGAACAAGACCAGCCCGGUCUCGGCCGGCCACACUGGUGAACUCUGGAUAACACAGCCGAUCGCACGGUCUUUGCACCGGCGACGGAUCCUUCGAAUGUCUGCCCUAUCAACUUUCGAUGGUACGUUAUGCGCCUACCAUGGUCGUCACGGGUAACGGAGAAUCAGGGUUCGAUUCCGGAGAGGGAGCCUGAGAAACGGCUACCACAUCCAAGGAAGGCAGCAGGCGCGCAAAUUACCCACUCCCGACACGGGGAGGUAGUGACGAAAAAUAACAAUACAGGACUCUUUCGAGGCCCUGUAAUUGGAAUGAGUACACUUUAAAUCCUUUAACGAGGAUCCACUGGAGGGCAAGUCUGGGUUGCAGUGAAGGAGAAGAACAAAGAUAACUGUUUAGCAUACAAAUGCAGGGAAAAAUAACACGGCACAACACAGGGGAAAGGAGAGAAGAACCAAUGAAAGAAGGGACAAAAACUGAGUGCAAAAGCUCAUAUCCCUAGCUAGACAGAAAUUUUAGCAGAAAGUGAAAGAAGAAUAUAAAAACAUAUAUGGAAUUAGAAGAUAUUAAAGUAAAAAGAAUAAAAGAAGGAUAAAUAGGGAGAACAUGAAGCGGAGGACAGGAAACAAGAGAAAAAAGAUGUAGACAAUUAAAAAACGAAUAACAUAGAAAAUUGAGAGAAGA